rfam:Morus notabilis contig10826, whole genome shotgun sequence.
UAACCAUGUUGAGGACAUCUCUGGACAAGAUCCUUGAAUCGCUCUUAUGCCUCAUAAAGAGGCUCAAAAUCUAACUGUCUGAAUUGGCCGAUCCCACUCCUCAACUGAGUUG